rnacentral:lncRNA from 1 species
AGAGAGGUAAUGAGUAGCAUCAAGGAUCUGAACAUAAACUCUUCCACCAAGUAAUCCAACUAGCAUCUACUACAAAGAGUAAUUAACACUACUAGCAACCUUACAAGUACCAAUCGGAGUCGCGAGACGGAGAUUGGUUACAAGAGAUGAACUAGGGUUUGGAGAUGAGAUGGUGCUGAUGAAGAUGUUGAUGGUGAUGAGUCCCCUCCGAUGAGAGGAGUGUUGGUGAUGACGAUGGCGACGAUUUCCCCCUCCAGGAGGGAAGUUUCCCC